CGAACGGGUGAGUAACGCGUGAGGAACCUGCCUCAAAGAGGGGGACAACAGUUGGAAACGACUGCUAAUACCGCAUAAGCCCACGGGUCGGCAUCGACCUGAGGGAAAAGGAGCAAUCCGCUUUGAGAUGGCCUCGCGUCCGAUUAGCUAGUUGGUGAGGUAACGGCCCACCAAGGCGACGAUCAGUAGCCGACCUGAGAGGGUGACCGGCCACAUUGGGACUGAGACACGGCCCAG
rnacentral:rRNA from 1 species